AAUCAAAGAAAAUGGCGUGUAUUUACUUGAAAACAGCAUAGUCUUGUUUUUGUGGAUCGGACUACAUGUAAAUCCCGACUGGCUUCAACAAGUGUUUGGUGUUUCUACCAUUGGUCAUGUUGAUAUUGAGAUGACGGCAUUGCCUGAGUUGGAUACAGCUUUGUCACGACGAAUAAGAGGAAUUAUCGCUCAAAUCCAGGAGGAACGACAUAGAUACAUGAAGGUUUCUAUCGUCAGACAACGCGAUAAACUGGAACCGUGGUUCAAACAUUAUCUUGUUGAAGACAAAGGACUUACAGCAGCAAGCCAGAGUUAUGUUGACUUCCUAUGUCUCAUGCAUAAAGAAGUCAGAAAUUUACUCAAUUAAAUAGACUUGUAUUGUUCUUGCGAGAAAUGAUUUAAACAACGAAAGGCGACACGAAAACUAUUGUUAUGUUUGA